rnacentral:rRNA from 1 species
GACGAACGCUGGCGGCGUGCUUAACACAUGCAAGUCGAACGCUGAAGCUCAGCUUUUGUUGGGUGGAUGAGUGGCGAACGGGUGAGUAACACGUGAGUAACCUGCCCCCUUCUUUGGGAUAACGCCCGGAAACGGGUGCUAAUACUGGAUAUUCACUUCUCCUCGCGUGGGGGUUGGUGGAAAGGGCGUCUUUGGUGGGGGUUGCGCCCGCGGCCUAUCAGCUUGUUGGUGGGGUGAUGGGCUACCAAGGCUUUGACGGGGGGCCGGCCUGAGAGGGUGACCGGGAACUUUGGGACGGACAUGGGGCCUACGGUCCGACGCAGGGCAGCAGGGGGGACAAUUGCACAAAGGGCGAAAGCGUGAUGCCGCGACGGCGCGUGAGGGGUGGAGGCCGUCAGGUUGUGAACCUCUUUCGCAAAUGAUCAAGCCGCAACAAUGGUUGUGGUGACGGUAGUGGGUAAAGAAGCACCGGCUAACUACGUG